GGGGGUAUAGCUCAGUGGUAGGGCGCAUGCUUGGCAUGCACGAGGUCCUGGAUUCAAUCCCCAGUACCUCCA
rnacentral:tRNA from 1 species